UUGCUUGCAUUGUGAGUAAGAAUUUACCUGUGUUCAGUUUUCAUCAUCCGGAAGUAUGAACACCAAUUCAUUUACAUUUUGCUUCAUUAAGUUUGCAUGUCACUUUUGAUACAACAGCCCAAACGUUUUCACAAGCAGAGCAUGUAAUAUAUUGAGUUAUGAAUUUUGUAUAUUUUUUAUUCAUGAUUUAAUUUAAGAACCCUAAUAAGUUGUUGGUUAACGGGAUGUUGUUGAGAACUAAUUAAUCAGAGCCUGCCUUUGUUGAUGGGAGAAUGAAUCUGUAUGUACAAUGGUUUAUUAUUGCAAGUGAGGAUGUACCGAAUCUAUGCAUUGAACUCUUCAUUAAUGCUACAGGCAUCGAGUCUUAUUUCAUGAAAGGUGUGUUUAUGAAUUUCAUUACAUAUCUGGCUAUUUAUGAUUGCAUUUUAGCAUGUACAUUGUAUAUUAAAUACUUGUGACCAGCAGGAAAAAAGAAUGUAAAACUGUGAUGAUCAAUGGAUAACAUCAAAGUUCUUGUUGGUAUACCAAUAAACUGUGAAUUCUG
rnacentral:misc_RNA from 1 species